GGCCUAUAGCUCAGCUGGUUAGAGUGCACCCCUGAUAAGGGUGAGGUCACAAGUUCAAGUCUUGUUAGGCC
rnacentral:tRNA from 3 species